rnacentral:lncRNA from 1 species
AGUCACACACCGUUCACACCAUACCAUGCACCAUUUUUAAAGCAUACAAUUCAGGGACAUUUGUUAUAUCCUCACUGCUCUGCCACCGUGACCACUACUCAGUUCCAGAAGAUUCUCCUCAUCCCCCAAAUAAACCCCAAGCCGGUGAAGCAGUCACUCCCCACUCUCCUCUCUGCCUGCUUCUCGGCCAUUGGCAGCCACUGAUCUGUUUCCUGUCUCUGUGGAUCUGCCUAUUCUGGCCUCCCCAUAGAAACGGAGUCACCCACCAUCUUGGUCUUUUGUAUCUGGCUUCCUUUUAAUAUGAUGUCUCCAAGGUUCCUCACAUAGAAGUAGGCAUCAGGACUUUGAUUCUUGUUACGGUUGGGUCGAGUGAUGUCCCAUUGUCACGGAUCUGCCUCGCUGGGUUAUCUGUCCAUUGGAUUCUGGGGUUGUGACUGUGUUCUGGCUCCUUUGAGUAUCACUGUGCACUGCUCUUAGUUUUUUGGGUUUUUAUUUUUGUACCAGGGAUUGAACCCAGGAGUGUGUAACCACCAAGCCACACCACCAGCCCUUUAAAAAAUAUAUAUUUUAUCUAGAGACAGAGUCUCCCUGAGUUGCUUAGGGCCUCACUAAGUUGCUGAGGCUGGCUAUGAACUCCCGAUCCUCCUGCCUCAGCCUCCUGAGCCUCUGGGGGUUACAGGCGAGCGCCAGGCACCCGGCUUUGCAUGCUCUUUUUAUCCCUCAUCUGUCUUGUGUUGAAGGCCUGCCUUGCUGUCACUGGAAGGAGCUCUGGAGAGUUGAGAAGGCGGCCAGACGGCCUCAUGCAGCUCCAGCCGUGAGAUUUCAGGCAGCCCGGUUGGCGCGCGUUUCCUAGUGCGCAUGCGCCUUCCUGACAGCCCUGCAGAUGGUCCUGCGAGGCGCCCAACCCAGCGUGCGAGGUCCAGUCCUUCCUACGUAAGCGGGGAAAGUCCGAUGUCAGAGGAGAGCUGUUUUUGUUCCUCCUUUUCCCUUUGAUUCCCCUCCCUUUCUGGUUCCCCGCUUCCUCUUCUCUGCUGUUGCCAGUCACUGCGUUUGAACUGCCCUUUCUUCUUUCUUCAGCGGGCCUGGGGACAUGGUGGAACAUUCUGGGCUAAUGCCAGGCUGGAGGUGAACCUGGUGACAUGUGUCAUGGGAUGCAUCCUCCGAAAGGGCAGGAUGAGCUGCAGAGGACAGUGGUCAGCCACACUAGGUGGUGGGUGACAGGGUGAAGCCAGCAGUGGCUGGACCCGAAGAGGGUGCAGGAGGGCCCUGAUGGUGCCUUCCCAUCCAGUUUGAUUUAGGGUCUUAGUUUACAGACAGCAUUGAGGCCUUUUGUGGCCCAGGAGGUCACCAGAAUGAUGGAUACUUAGAUAUCAGAAUCAAACCCACAGGGACACGCAGGGGCGAGCUCCCGAUGGAGAGGUGUGUGCUUUUCUUGGACAUUGGUUUGUGAAUGUUCUGUCUCCUGCAGCCCUGUGCCUGCUGCUUCCCCAGCCCAAGGUGAAGCCUCUUGAAGGAAAAGAUGACAAGCCACUUUUAUUUCUCCAUACACGCUUGCUCAGGGUGCCCCCCCUGGAUUUCUGAGUUCACAAGUCGCUUUGACUGUAUGUGGUGACAGCAACUUCAUUUAUUUCAUCCAGUAAUGAUGACAG